UGCCCGAAAAUGGGCAAAGAGGCAGCUUGUUGGUGGUAUUAUUCUUAUAUCUGUCAGAGGCAGAGUAGAUGGCAUUCCUUUGCUUAUCUUAGCUUGAUACCUGGCCUGGCGGCCAAAGCUGUUUUAUGCCUAGGACUCCUAA